UACGUAGGGUGCAAGCGUUGUCCGGAAUUAUUGGGCGUAAAGAGCUCGUAGGCGGUCUGUCGCGUCUGCUGUGAAAACUCGGGGCUUAACCCCGGGCCUGCAGUGGGUACGGGCAGACUAGAGUGCGGUAGGGGAGACUGGAAUUCCUGGUGUAGCGGUGAAAUGCGCAGAUAUCAGGAGGAACACCGGUGGCGAAGGCGGCCCACUGGAUCGGCACUGACGCUGAGGUGCGAAAGCGUGGGGAGCAAACAGG
rnacentral:rRNA from 1 species